AGGAAUUUUCGGCAAUGGAGGAAACUCUGACCGAGCAACGCCGCGUGAACGAURAAGUAUUUAGGUACGUAAAGUUCUUUUAUUAAAGAAGAAAAAAUGAUGGAAAAAUCAUUCUGACGGUAUUUAAUGAAUAAGCCCCGGCUAACUAUGUKCCAGCAGCUGCGGUAAUACAUGGGGGGCAAGCGUUAUCCGGAUUUAUUGGGCGUAAAKGGUGSGUAGGCGGUUAAAUAAGUCUAUGGUAUAAGUUCAACGCUUAACGUUGUGAUGCUAUAGAAACUGUUUGACUAGAGUUGGAUAGAGGCAAGUGGAAUUCCAUGUGUAGCGGUAAAAUGCGUAAAUAUAUGGAGGAACACCAGUAGCGAAGGCGGCUUGCUGGGUCUUAACUGACGCUGAGGCACGAAAGCGUGGGGAGCAAACRG
rnacentral:rRNA from 1 species